AACGAACGCUGGCGGCAGGCUUAACACAUGCAAGUCGAACGGAUCCUUCGGGAUUAGUGGCGGACGGGUGAGUAACACGUGGGAACGUGCCUUUUGGUUCGGAACAACUCAGGGAAACUUGAGCUAAUACCGGAUGUGCCCUUCGGGGGAAAGAUUUAUCGCCAUUAGAGCGGCCCGCGUCUGAUUAGCUUGUUGGUGAG
rnacentral:rRNA from 1 species